rnacentral:rRNA from 1 species
UCGUGGAUCAGCAUGCCACGGUGAAUACGUUCCCGGGUCUUGUACACACCGCCCGUCACACCAUGGGAGUCGGUAACACCCGAAGUCAGUAGUCUAACCGCAAGGAGGACGCUGCCGAAGGUGGGAUUGACGACUGGGGUGAAGUCGUAACAAGGUAAC